GUUUUCUCCGAGCGAAAAUAUCUAAGGAUCUUAAUCUAUGAUAUUGAGCCAAGUGCUAAAAGUACUUCUGGGUUAGAAGGGAAACCGACUAGCCUUCCGUAUUUGAAAAGGUGAUUACAG
rnacentral:ncRNA from 1 species